rnacentral:lncRNA from 1 species
GGAGGGGUCAGCUGGCAAGAUUGCCACAUCUCCCAACAUAUGUUAUUCCUCUGUUUGCCAAAGCAGGAGAGUCUGUGCCAAGGUGUGGGUCACGCCCCAGGAGAACACGCCCCAAGUGAAGCUGCAUAAUGUUCAGAAAUUGAGCAUGAAAAAUGUGUAGGGGUAAACUGCUGCCCAGGCCCAGUUCCAGGUGUCAAUCAACAGAAUCUAAGAUCCUCUGGUUAGAGAAGCAAACUGCUGACCCAAGCUGACCAGUAAACUUCCUAUCCCUAUAACCCCAAUCUCCUGUGGAGGAACCACAGGAGGAAAGGCUGUUGAAGCAGAGUCAGCCAACAGUGCCCCCCUGUAGAACAGACCCAGAAGUUUCUGCUGAGACUUCAGUCAAGAACCCCUACUUCCUGCUGUCCCCCACAGGGAGUUAUCCAAUUGUGCCUUCUGUACUCUGAGCCACACAAUAUUCUUC